AAAAACAUUGCUUCAUGAGAAUAAUAUGUGAGGUAUGCUCUGCCCAGUGACUUAUGAGUUAAACGGCCGCGGUACCCUGACUGUGCUAAGGUAGCGUGAUAAUUCGCCCUUUAAUUGUGGGCUUGUACGAAUGGGUUAACGAGGGUUUUACUGUCUCCUUUUUACUAUUAGAAAUUAAUAUUCAGGUGAAAAGGCCUGAAUUAUUAUGCAGGACAAAAAGACCCCAUAGAGCUUUGUUUUAUUGUAGUUAAUUAAAAGAAUUGAUGAAUAUUUUUUAUUUUAUAGAAUAAAACUUAACUGGGGCGGUUGAGGAAAACUUUAAUCUUCCUUUAUUAAUAAGCGCUUGUAAGGCUCAAAUAUAAGAUCCUAUGAAUAGAUUGAAGAAAAGCUACCUUGGGGGUAACAGACUAAUUUUUUUUGAGAGUCCAUAUUGACAAAAAAGUUUGGCACAUCGAUGUUGGCUUAGGGUAACCUUAAGAUAGUAGAAGUCUUUUAAGGUAGGUUUGUUCAACCUUUAAAUCCCUACGUGAUCUGA
rnacentral:rRNA from 1 species